rnacentral:lncRNA from 1 species
AUAUUUUUAAAAUAGUUGAUACACAAGGAAGGAACAUUGCUUAAAGGUUUCAAACCCACACAAGCCUUAUGAGUUUUUCGUGGUUGAGAUGAACAUGUAGUUUUAUGUACUGUAAGCUACCCAGGCUAACACUCUUGUGUCCCCACCAUAGAGAAAAAACUGAAUCUUGACCAGCUACUUUCUGUGCAUUAGAGAAAACACAAAUUAAUCAUUGGAAACAAGAACCUUGAUUCUGUCUUUAGGCAUUUCUUCAGUUGCUCUUGUUGACCAAGAUGGGAUGACUUUCUAUUUGGGACAGUUUCCUCUUUCUCUAAACUAUCUCUUCAUUGAAUGGUUGACUUUUUUUCCUAUUAAAUUAUAUGUAUUUUUCUUGUGCAAGAAAGGCUUUUAUUUAUGAUUCAAGAAAUUAAAAUAUCACUCACUCUCUGUUACACCUGCUAAAAAUUCUUUUCUGCCCUUUUCUUUUUUCACUCAGAGUUUGUAAUCAUUUGGUCUCCUUUUUUCUCUCAGCAUUAACUCACGGAAAUCCAGUGAUAGCAUUUCAAAACACAGGUGCUUCCAACCGUUGGUGAAAGAAAUAUGAGCAAUAAAGAUGGGAGAAAAUCAUUCCUUUUCUCCUACAACUGCAGAUUUCACCUAUUCAUUCAUGAAAGACACAGAGGAGAGAGAGAGGCAGAGACACAGGCAGAGGGAGAAGCAGGCUCCAUGCAGGGAGCCCAACGUGGGACUUGAUCCGGGACUCCAGGAUCAUGCCCUGGGCCAAAGGCAGGCGCCGAGCCACUGAGCCCCUCAGGGAUUCCCCAAUCUCUACUUCUUAAACUGGAUAUUUACUUGUUUGAUCUUCUUUACAUUGGCCAUACACUCAUUUAUAUGAUAUACUUAAUUAUAAAAAAUUUAACCACAUUGAAAAGCAUGAAACAAGAUCUGAAUAGAAAAAUAUGCUGUAUUCUUGCAUGAAAAUACUAUACUAUAAAAGUAUACAUUCUUCCAAAAUUGAUAGACAUUUAAUCCCAAUUGAAACCCCAACUUCUCAUGUGCAGAAUUAGAUAACACUUUCUCCUUUUUAAAAGACUUACUUAUUUGAGAGAGAACAUGUGCCCCCACUCACACAGAGGGAGAGGAAGAAGGAGAAAGAAUCCUGAAGCAGUCUCCUCACUGAGCAGGGAGCUCCACAAGGGGCUGGGUCCCAGGACCCUGAGAUCAUGAUGUGAGCCAAAAUCAAGAGUUGACCACUUAACCAACUAAGCCACGCAGGUGCCCCAGUUAACAGUUUCUUAAGGUCCUCAUGGGAUGAAAAAUGCCUGAGCAUAAUCAAAUCAGUCUUAUACUGACUUAAGAACAGACAAAUCAAUAGAAUAAUACAUAGUACAUAACGAAUCCCAGGUAAAAUGGAAUUUAACAUAUGACAAAGGUCAGGAAAAGAACAGUUUAUUUAGUCAAUGUUGCCGACCUGAAUAAUUUUCUAACUAGAAGACAAUAAAGCUGAGCUCCUACCUCACACGAUAUACGAAUCUAAGAAGAAGAAAAUUCUUUUCUAUAAAAAAUAGAACAAAAAUAUUAAAAUAAAAUAUAGGAAACUGUACAAUCUAAGAGUUGAGUAUACUUUCUUAGCCAAAACAUGAAGACAGAAGUUAUCAAAGAAAAGAUGGUUUUAAAUGCUUUAUAAUGACAAAGAUGCCAUGAAGUUAAAAGAGGAAAAAAAAAACCAACAGAUUUGAAAAAAAGAUGAAAAUUUAAAAUCUGUUCUAAAAAGAGCUCACAACAAUCCAGAAGUGUGCAGCAUAUGUGUAGACUGUUCAAAGGUGUGUAAUAAGCAGCCAAUAUACAUAUGAAAAGAUAUUCAACUUCACAAACAGCAAAGGAGGUAAAAAUUAAAAUAACUUGCAAAAAUUGGAAAGAGUUAUAAUAUCCACCACAGACAAGAAAACUAGUGAUGAGGUUAGGGAGACAUACUAAGGAUGUGUCGUUCAUGUACUGCCAGUGAAAUGUACAUUAUUGCAGCCUUUUUGGAAAGCUCUCUGAUGACAUUUAUUGCCUUUUAAAAUAUUUAUACCCUUCAAUGAGCAAUCCUCUCCAAAGACUUCUUCUCAUAGCAAUAAAAGCUCCUGUCAGUGCAGUCCAGCAGCUCAGUACCAUUUCCAGGCACAAAAAUACAAAAAGUGAAGUCAAUGCUCUGCAUUGACUCAGCAGGGAGACCAGGGUGGGGGUUGCGGGGUGGGGGGAAUACUGUGCAGCCAUUAAAAAGGAUGCUAAAUAUGCUAUUUGGAUGUUCUUAAUUUCCCUUCUGCUUCUCUUAGGGCCUGUUUUUCUCUCAGCUCAUUGAGCCUCUACUUCCCCCCCAUGUACCUCCUUGG